AGGGCGCACGGUGGAUGCCUUGGCACUAGGAGCCGACGAAGGACGUGACAAACGACGAUAUACCUUGGGUAGCUGUAAGUAAGCGAUGAUCCAGGGAUUUCCGAAUGGGGGAACCCAACAGGUAAUACCUGUUACCCACAUCUGUUAAGGAUGUGAGGAGGAAGACGCAGUGAACUGAAACAUCUAAGUAGCUGCAGGAAGAGAAAGCAAAAGCGAUUGCCUUAGUAGCGGCGAGCGAAACGGCAGAAGGGCAAACCGAAGAGUUUACUCUUCGGGGUUGUAGGACUGCAAUGUGGACUCAAAGAUUAUAGAAGAAUGAUUUGGGAAGAUCAGCCAAAGAGAGUAAUAGCCUCGUAUUUAAAAUAGUCUUUGUACCUAGCAGUAUCCUGAGUACGGCGGGACACGUGAAAUCCCGUCGGAAUCUGGGAGGACCAUCUCCCAACCCUAAAUACUCCCUAGUGACCGAUAGUGAACCAGUACCGUGAGGGAAAGGUGAAAAGCACCCCGGGAGGGGAGUGAAAUAGAACCUGAAACCGUGUGCCUACAACAAGUUCGAGCCCGUUAAUGGGUGAGAGCGUGCCUUUUGUAGAAUGAACCGGCGAGUUACGUUAUGAUGCGAGGUUAAGUUGAAGAGACGGAGCCGUAGGGAAACCGAGUCUGAACAGGGCGAAUUAGUAUCAUGACGUAGACCCGAAACCAUGUGACCUACCCAUGAGCAGGUUGAAGGUGCGGUAAGACGCACUGGAGGACCGAACCAGGGCACGUUGAAAAGUGCUUGGAUGACUUGUGGGUAGCGGAGAAAUUCCAAACGAACUUGGAGAUAGCUGGUUCUCUCCGAAAUAGCUUUAGGGCUAGCGUCGACAUUAGAGAUUCUUGGAGGUAGAGCACUGUUUGGGUGAGGGGUCCAUCCCGGAUUACCAAUCUCAGAUAAACUCCGAAUGCCAAUGAAUUAUGGUCGGCAGUCAGACUGCGAGUGCUAAGAUCCGUAGUCGAAAGGGAAACAGCCCAGACCACCAGCUAAGGUCCCAAAAUAAUUGUUAAGUGGAAAAGGAUGUGGGGUUGCACAGACAACUAGGAUGUUAGCUUAGAAGCAGCUAUUCAUUCAAAGAGUGCGUAAUAGCUCACUAGUCGAGUGACCCUGCGCCGAAAAUGUACCGGGGCUAAAACAAUUUACCGAAGCUGUGGAUACCUUUAUAGGUAUGGUAGGAGAGCGUUCUAUGUGUGAUGAAGGUAUACCGUGAGGAGUGCUGGAACGCAUAGAAGUGAGAAUGCCGGUAUGAGUAGCGAAAGACAGGUGAGAAUCCUGUCCACCGUAAGACUAAGGUUUCCAGGGGAAGGCUCGUCCGCCCUGGGUUAGUCGGGACCUAAGGAGAGACCGAAAGGUGUAUCCGAUGGACAACAGGUUGAUAUUCCUGUACUAGAGUAUGUAGUGAUGGAGGGACGCAGUAGGCUAACUAAAGCAGACGAUUGGAAGAGUCUGUCUAAGCAGUGAGGUGUGAAUUGAGUCAAAUGCUUAAUUCUAUAACAUUGAGCUGUGAUGGGGAGCGAAGUUUAGUAGCGAAGUUAGUGACGUCACACUGCCAAGAAAAGCUUCUAGCGUUUAAACAUACUCUACCCGUACCGCAAACCGACACAGGUAGUCGAGGCGAGUAGCCUCAGGUGAGCGAGAGAACUCUCGUUAAGGAACUCGGCAAAAUGACCCCGUAACUUCGGGAGAAGGGGUGCUGACUUUAGGUCAGCCGCAGUGAAUAGGCCCAAGCAACUGUUUAUCAAAAACACAGCUCUCUGCUAAAUCGUAAGAUGAUGUAUAGGGGGUGACGCCUGCCCGGUGCUGGAAGGUUAAGAGGAGUGCUUAGCGUAAGCGAAGGUAUGAAUUGAAGCCCCAGUAAACGGCGGCCGUAACUAUAACGGUCCUAAGGUAGCGAAAUUCCUUGUCGGGUAAGUUCCGACCCGCACGAAAGGCGUAAUGAUUUGGGCACUGUCUCAACGAGAGACUCGGUGAAAUUUUAGUACCUGUGAAGAUGCAGGUUACCCGCGACAGGACGGAAAGACCCCAUGGAGCUUUACUGCAGUUUGA
rnacentral:rRNA from 1 species